rnacentral:rRNA from 1 species
UCAGACGAUGCGUCAUGCAUAUCAAUAAGCGGAGGAAAAGAAACUAACAAGGAUUCCCCUAGUAACGGCGAGUGAAGCGGGAAGAGCUCAAAUUUGAAAUCUUAAAGGGUUUCCCUUUACGAAUUGUAGUUUAAAGAAGUGUUUUCUGUUGAGGUUUUGGUAAAAGUUCUUUGGAAUAGGACAUCAUAGAGGGUGAGAAUCCCGUAUUUGACCUUUACUUUCAACUUUGUGAUACACUUUCAAAGAGUCGGAUUGUUUGGGAAUGCAGUCCAAAAUGGGUGGUAAAUUUCAUCUAAAGCUAAAUAUUGGCGAGAGACCGAUAGCGAACAAGUACCGUGAGGGAAAGAUGAAAAGAACUUUGAAAAGAGAGUUAAACAGUACGUGAAAUUGUCAAAAGGGAAGCGUUUGACACCAGUGUUGUUUUUCUGAAAAUCAAUUAAAGAACUGUUUAUGCUAAGCUGUUUAGACUUUAUCAGCUAUCUGUUUAGUUUUGAGCUUUUCUUUAAUGCACUUUUCAGUUAACAAGUCAACAUCAAUUUCUUUUGCUGUAAAAAAGCUUGAGGAAGGUGGCUUGAGAUUCGUCUUAAGUGUUUAUAGCCUCUUGCCUAUGCAGUCGGAGAGAUUGAGGUCUGCAGCGUAGAUCCUUCGGGGCUAAAUGCAUUUGUGCUAAGUUAUAGCAUUUUAUAGACAACUUGUUGACUAUGAUUUGUCUUGUAGCUUACUCGCUUAUGUUAUUUUACCUACGCUUAGGAUGUUGAAGAUGUAGCACAUCAU